rnacentral:rRNA from 1 species
AGAGUUUGAUCCUGGCUCAGGAUGAACGCUGGCGGCGUGCCUAAUACAUGCAAGUCGAACGAGGUGCUUUUGUAGCAAUACGAGAGUAUCCUAGUGGCGAACGGGUGAGUAACGCGUUGGUGACCUACCCCAAAGUGUGGGAUAACAGUCCGAAAGGAUUGCUAAUACCGCAUGUGGUUAUUGGAUUUAGAAACCGGUAACUAAAGGAGCAAUUCGCUUUGGGAGGGACCUGCGUCCCAUCAGCUAGUUGGUGAGGUAACGGCUCACCAAGGCGACGACGGGUAGGGGACCUGAGAGGGUGACCCCCCACAAUGGAACUGAAACACGGUCCAUACACCUACGGGUGGCAGCAGUAGGGAAUAUUGCACAAUGGGCGAAAGCCUGAUGCAGCAACGCCGCGUGUGUGAUGAAGGCCUUCGGGUCGUAAAGCACUUUUCUGGGAGAUGAGAAAGGACAGUAUCCCAGGAAUAAGUCUCGGCUAACUACGUGCCAGCCGCCGCGGUAAUAC